GACGAACGCUGGCGGCGUGCCUAAUACAUGCAAGUCGAACGCUUCUUUCCUCCCGAGUGCUUGCACUCAAUUGGAAAGAGGAGUGGCGGACGGGUGAGUAACACGUGGGUAACCUACCCAUCAGAGGGGGAUAACACUUGGAAACAGGUGCUAAUACCGCAUAACAGUUUAUGCCGCAUGGCAUAAGAGUGAAAGGCGCUUUCGGGUGUCGUUGAUGGAUGGACCCGCGGUGCAUUAGCUAGUUGGUGAGGUAACGGCUCACCAAGGCCGCGAUGCAUAGCCGACCUGAGAGGGUGAUCGGCCACACUGGGACUGAGACACGGCCCAGACUCCUACGGGAGGCAGCAGUAGGGAAUCUUCGGCAAUGGACGAAAGUCUGACCGAGCAACGCCGCGUGAGUGAAGAAGGUUUUCGGAUCGUAAAACUCUGUUGUUAGAGAAGAACAAGGACGUUAGUAACUGAACGUCCCCUGACGGUAUCUAACCAGAAAGCCACGGCUAACUACGUG
rnacentral:rRNA from 1 species